UACGUAGGGUGCAAGCGUUGUCCGGAAUUAUUGGGCGUAAAGAGCUCGUAGGCGGUCUGUCGCGUCGGAUGUGAAAAUCCAGGGCUCAACCCUGGACCUGCAUUCGAUACGGGCAGACUAGAGUUCGGUAGGGGAGACUGGAAUUCCUGGUGUAGCGGUGAAAUGCGCAGAUAUCAGGAGGAACACCGGUGGCGAAGGCGGGUCUCUAGGCCGAAACUGAUGCUGAGGAGCGAAAGCGUGGGGAGCAAACAGG
rnacentral:rRNA from 1 species